rnacentral:tRNA from 1 species
CAAGGUAGCCGUAGGGGAACCUGCGGCUGGAUCACCUCCUUUCUAAGGAUCGGUCCGAAAGCGCUCUGGCUAGACCAGAGAAGAGCUUCGUACCUCUCGUAUAGAACAUAUGCCGCCGUCCUCAUGUCCCUUCAUCCUGAAAACUAGCGCAGCCGCGCUGGUUCGCCGCUUCGCCUUCAUGGCGGAAACGGUUGAGCCUAUGCGGUUGUGUGGUGGCUUGUUUGGGCCGGUAGCUCAGGUGGUUAGAGCGCACGCCUGAUAAGCGUGAGGUCGUAAGUUCAACUCUUACUCGGCCCACCAAUGCGCAGGCGCGAAGACGGAGCAGCAAAGCUGCACCGCAUCGCGCCAAGCACGGCCGACGGGGCCGCGAAAGCGGACCCCGUUCGACGUCGGUGCGGGCUUUGCCCGCACUUCUGUCAGGCCGACGCGUAAUGAUGGGGCCUUAGCUCAGCUGGGAGAGCGGUUGCUUUGCAAGCAUCAGGUCAUCGGUUCGAUCCCGAUAGGCUCCACCAUCGCACCUCAAGCGACACUAAUAACAGAAGAGACAGACAAGCAGGCACGGGCAAAGCCCGUGCUGACGUCGCAACGCAGAUGCUUCGCAUCGCGGCGGCCGGGCUUGUCGCACAAGCGAUUUAGCGUUGCUAAAUCGUCUUGGCAUCUGCGCCUUCCAGGGUGAAGACAUCAGUUUCCGGCGAGAGCCGGAAUAUCCAGGGCCUGCAGCGCAGGCCUUUGUUUGACAUUGUGAAUGGGUUUUAGAAAUCGAUGCUGCUCGGCGUCGCGUUUCUGCCAGGGCCUCCGGCAACGGAGAUCGCGGUGGAGACGUGUGACGCCAGCAAUUGAUGACUAUGCUGAGUGGAUUAUCCGCACCGAGAGACGAUGUAGCUGGAAACAGCCUUGUCGUUGGUGGUGUGGACUCUCAAGCGUGAGGUAAGGGCAAUUCGUGGAUGCCUUGGCGCAUACAGGCGAUGAAGGACGUGGCACGCUGCGAUAAGCUUGC